rnacentral:misc_RNA from 1 species
GGCACCAAAGCUGUACCAUCUUGAGGUUGUUCUUGGCCAUUUUAAGAAGUGGACAGUCCCUGAAAACUUACCUCAUGUCCACAAUUACACAAAGUUGCUCUUCUCCAGGGAAUCUUUUCAGAAGACCAAGGCUGCAAAGGAACAUGUGAUUGCAGGGUGGGAGCCUAAGGUCAACGCAUGAAGUAGUUCUAAGUUAUAAGUAUGUUGAACUCUAGGUAUGAAAUGCGGUUGAGAAUUGAAAAUUGUGUAUCAGACAUGUAUGCUGGAGGAGAGCAACUU